UGUGUGCCCUCAUCUUCAAUGGGAUUUGAGGGCACUUAGUACCUCACAGGACUGAGUGCAUUAAGGAUAGAGUGCUGGCUGCCAGCCAAAUUAAUUCUUUGUGUAGAUAUCUAUCUCUAACUCAGUAUAGUUACUGUAGAUGUGGAUAGACUGGGUUUGAGGAUGGGAUCCCAGUAAAUUAUUGACUGAAGAUUUAAGCAGGUCACUAAAUUCAGGCAAAAUUCCACAACUGGAUGUUUAAACCUAACACAAAUAUUUUACUGCUUUUGAGAGAAGGGGUUAAUAUGAAUGAUGGUUAUUAAGAAGCUAUAACAGGAAAGCUACAAUAGUGUGAUUAACAGAUUCCCAAUAGCUGGAAGCCUCUUUUCUU